rnacentral:pre_miRNA from 1 species
CUUAUACUUUCUCUGUCCUAAAAUUCUUGUCUUAAAUUUACCUACAUAUGAAUGUAUCUAGUCUCGUUUUAGUAUUUAAAUACAUUCAUUUCUAAACAAACUUAAGAUAAAAAAUUUGGGAUGGAUGGAAUAUUAG